UUUUGUUUUCAGGAAUAACAACUGAAGUCUAUGAUUAUUAUGGAUUGAAAUUUGACUUUACUAAAUGAAACAUAGAAAGCUGACUGAUGCAAUCGACUUAGCAGACACAAAUGGCACCCUUUCUAGGGACUUGGAAAACUCCCAAAUAAAGAAUAUGAACGCGAGGCUAGGAUUUGGUGACUGAAAUACAGGGGCCAGACGAAUCGGACUUAAUAAAAGUUGUUCUUCGCAGACAUGAAAGAAUGUAGGAGGAAGCACGUAGCGAUGUAGUCCACGAAAAUAAAAGGCCAGCAAAGAAAGAACAGUCCCGGUUGUCCCAGAAACUAUUGACGACAGCUCAAAUACAGAUGGACAGAAGAAGAGGAAAACAGGGGAAAUAAAGAAAAAAACAAUUUAGAGACAAAUAGAAUAUAGUAACGGAGAAUUGGAUGAUAAAAUCAGAUACAAUUAUCACAUAAGAUACGGUGCAGAAAACAAUUGGGACAUUCUCAAUUUACACUUAGCUCACAUGAGCACGAAUAGCACGAUUGUUGGAUAUCCGUUGACAUUAUCCGUUAGUCGUCUAAUGUCACCAUGUUUUUUUUCUCCAGCAUUCACAAUACUCCUUAAACUUAGACACAAUGUACUCGUAUAUCACAAUAUGUUAUUGCUCAAGAUGGAUAAUCGGUCCAGUUAGACCAUAUAAUAAGAGUUAUGGCCCCUGACUUACAUAACAACGCUGUACUCAGUCAUAUUUACACUCUGUCACCUUUAUUUCUGAACCGGUUCUUAUCAUAUUUACACUUAGGGUACAUAACAAUAAAAAGUAUGGAUCAGGUCAAAAACUAUAGAUUCAAUGUUACUUACCUGUGACUGAUCAAAAAUGCCAUGUCUCAAUAUAUGAACGCCUUGCAGUCAUUUUUUGCAAAUUUUGUUCAUAUUUUCACAGAAUUUGUGUAACAGCUAUUAAGGAUGUAUAUAUUACUUUAUUUCAAACUGGCACAGACAUCUUCGAUAGUGUUCACCUGUUUGUUCCGGGCGACAAUAAAAACAACAGGGCGAUGGAAAAAACAUGAAAUGCAUGGAAAAAUAUGUUUGUGCAUUCUUAUAUUUCCAUGUUUAGUUUCUUAUAAAGUAUCUCUGAUUUUAAUAAAUCAUCAAGAAUUAUUCUCGA